rnacentral:rRNA from 1 species
UACGGGGGGGGCAAGCGUUGUUCGGAAUUACUGGGCGUAAGGGGCUCGUAGGCGGCCAACUAAGUCAGACGUGAAAUCCCUCGGCUUAACCGAGGAACUGCGUCUGAUACUGGAUGGCUUGAGUUUGGGAGAGGGAUGCGGAAUUCCAGGUGUAGCGGUGAAAUGCGUAGAUAUCUGGAGGAACACCGGUGGCGAAGGCGGCAUCCUGGACCAACACUGACGCUGAUGAGCGAAAGCCAGGGGAGCAAACGGG